ACCUGAGUGGCUCAGUUGGUUAAGUGUCUGACUUUGGCUCAGGUCAUGAUCUUAUGGUCUGUGGGUUCGAGCCCCGCAUCGGGCU
rnacentral:tRNA from 1 species